GCGCGAGUGGCGGAAUUGGCAGACGCGCUGGAUUUAGGUUCCAGUACUUUCGAGUGUGGGGGUUCGAGUCCCCCCUCGCGCA
rnacentral:tRNA from 1 species